rnacentral:antisense_RNA from 1 species
CUUGAAGGAGCCCAGCCACAGGGGUUCGUCGCGGUUCUGUCCGUACGUGGCGAGGAGGGCUUGUGCCUC